rnacentral:rRNA from 1 species
GAGCCUUGAUGUGUAGGAUAGGUGGGAGGCUUUGAAGUGUGGACGCCAGUCUGCAUGGAGCCGACCUUGAAAUACCACCCUUUAAUGUUUGAUGUUCUAACGUUGACCCGUGAUCCGGGUUGCGGACAGUGUCUGGUGGGUAGUUUGACUGGGGCGGUCUCCUCCUAAAGAGUAACGGAGGAGCACGAAGGUUGGCUAAUCCUGGUCGGACAUCAGGAGGUUA